rnacentral:rRNA from 1 species
CUGGCGGCGUGCCUAAUACAUGCAAGUCGAACGGUCUUUCUAUGGAAGCUUGCUUCCACUGAGAAGAUAGUGGCGAACGGGUGAGUAACACGUGGGUAACCUGCCCAUAAGAGGGGGGAUAACAUCCGGAAACGGGUGCUAAUACCGCAUAGUUUUCUUGAUCGCAUGAUCGGGAAAGGAAAGACGGCCUUUGUGCUGUCGCUUAUGGAUGGACCCGCGGCGUAUUAGUUAGUUGGUGAGGUAACGGCUCACCAAGACGAUGAUACGUAGCCGACCUGAGAGGGUGAUCGGCCACAUUGGGACUGAGACACGGCCCAAACUCCUACGGGAGGCAGCAGUAGGGAAUCUUCCGCAAUGGACGAAAGUCUGACGGAGCAACGCCGCGUGAGUGAAGAAAGGUUUUCGGAUCGUAAAACUCUGUUGUCAGAGAAGAACAAGUUGGAGAGUAACUGCUCCAGCCUUGACGGUAUCUGACCAGAAAGCCACGGCUAACUACGUGCCAGCCGCUGC